UCUCAAAUGAACACCUGCUGAUGGAGAGU
rnacentral:piRNA from 1 species